rnacentral:rRNA from 1 species
UUUGAUCAUGGCUCAGAUUGAACGCUGGCGGCAGGCUUAACACAUGCAAGUCGAGCGCUAACAGGGGGUGCUUGCACCCCGCUGACGAGCGGCGGACGGGUGAGUAAUGCAUAGGAAACUGCCCAGUAGUGGGGGAUAGCCCGGGGAAACCCGGAUUAAUACCGCGUACGCCUUCGGGGGAAAGCAGGGGAUCUUCGGACCUUGCGCUAUUGGAUGUGCCUAUGUCGGAUUAGCUAGUUGGUGGGGUAAAGGCCUACCAAGGCGACGAUCCGUAGCUGGUCUGAGAGGAUGAUCAGCCACAUCGGGACUGAGACACGGCCCGAACUCUACGGGAGGCAGCAGUGGGGAAUAUUGGACAAUGGGGGCAACCCUGAUCCAGCCAUGCCGCGUGUGUGAAGAAGGCUUUCGGGUUGUAAAGCACUUUCAGUGAGGAGGAAAACUCUGCGACUAAUACUCGUAGGGCUUGACGUUACUCACAGAAGAAGCACCGGCUAACUCCGUGCCAGCAGCCGCGGUAAUACGGAGGGUGCAAGCGUUAAUCGGAAUUACUGGGCGUAAAGCGCGCGUAGGUGGUUUGAUAAGCGAGAUGUGAAAGCCCCGGGCUUAACCUGGGAACGGCAUUUCGAACUGUCAGGCUAGAGUAUGGUAGAGGGUAGUGGAAUUUCCUGUGUAGCGGUGAAAUGCGUAGAUAUAGGAAGGAACACCAGUGGCGAAGGCGGCUACCUGACCAANACUGACACUGAG